GACGAACGCUGGCGGCGUGCUUAACACAUGCAAGUGGAGCGACGAACCAGGGCUUGCCCUGGGGCAGAGCCGCGAACGGGUGAGUAACACGUGGGUAACCUACCCCGAUGACCGGGACAACCCGAGGAAACUCGGGCUAAUACCGGAUGUUGUCGUUUUCUCUAAGGAAACCGACUAAAGAUAGCUUCGGCCUUCGCAUCGGGACGGGCCCGCGGCCCAUUAGCUUGUUGGUGGGGUAACGGCCUACCAAGGCGAGGAUGGGUAGCUGGUCUGAGAGGACGAUCAGCCACACUGGGACUGAGACACGGCCCAGACUCCUACGGGAGGCAGCAGUGGGGAAUCUUGCGCAAUGGGCGAAAGCCUGACGCAGCAACGCCGCGUGGGGGAAGAAGGCCUUCGGGUUGUAAACCCCUUUCAGUUGGGACGAAGCUUCCAGAGUUAAUAGCUUUGUGGAGUGACGGUACCUUCAGAAGAAGCCCCGGCUAACUACGUGCCAGCCGCCGCGGUAAGAC
rnacentral:rRNA from 1 species